rnacentral:rRNA from 1 species
UUGGUAAGGUAACGGCUCACCUAGGCGACGAUACAUAGCCGACCUGAGAGGGUGAUCGGCCACACUGGGACUGAGACACGGCCCAGACUCCUACGGGAGGCAGCAGUAGGGAAUCUUCGGCAAUGGGGGCAACCCUGACCGAGCAACGCCGCGUGAGUGAAGAAGGUUUUCGGAUCGUAAAGCUCUGUUGUAAGUCAGGAACGAGUGUGAGAGUGGAAAGUUCACACUGUGACGGUAGCUUACCAGAAAGGGACGGCUAACUACGUGCCAGCAGCCGCGGUAAUACGUAGGUCCCGAGCGUUGUCCGGAUUUAUUGGGCGUAAAGCGAGCGCAGGCGGUUUGAUAAGUCU